rnacentral:rRNA from 1 species
AAUGAACGCUGGCGGCAGGCCUAACACAUGCAAGUCGAACGGGUCCUUCGGGACUAGUGGCGGACGGGUGAGUAACGCGUGGGAACAUACCCUUUGGUACGGAAUAGCCUCGGGAAACUGGGAGUAAUACCGUAUGUGGUCGAGAGACGAAAGAUUUAUCGCCAAAGGAUUGGCCCGCGUUGGAUUAGGUAGUUGGUGGGGUAAUGGCCUACCAAGCCGACGAUCCAUAGCUGGUUUGAGAGGAUGAUCAGCCACACUGGGACUGAGACACGGCCCAGACUCCUACGGGAGGCAGCAGUGGGGAAUCUUAGACAAUGGGGGAAACCCUGAUCUAGCCAUGCCGCGUGAUCGAUGAAGGCCUUAGGGUUGUAAAGAUCUUUCAGGUGGGAGAUAAUGACUGUACCACCAGAAGAAGCCCGGCUAACUCCGUGCCAGCAGCCGCGGU